GAAUAAGUAUGCCAGAAACCAAAGUAAUCAUAAAUAAGUAGUCGAGAAGUUCCCGGAUGGCCUACUGCUUCCGCCCAGAUUCUGAAGUGUUCCUCGAUGGAUACUUUUCUAUCCCAGGAGGCCAUGGGAGAGGAUACGUCAUAUCAAACACGGAGGAGAAAAGCGACGCGGAUGCUGUCAAAUGGGUGUGAUUCUUCCGGAAAAAUCUGGAAAUCCGGCUUUUCCGACCUGAAAAUGAUGCUCUCCUAAAGCCCCGGGUAUACUUCACUUUCCGCGCCCGGACGCGGCGGCUGCGAUGGGUCGAGUAUUGGUAAACAUAAUGACCGCUCACCGCUGUCAACGUUUUUUGUGCCUCUGAUUCAUGUCGUCAUGUCACUCCGCAAGUAGUCCAAUCAUUUGUCACGAUUGAAGUUCAAAGUGUACGCGCACCGUUAUGAAUGCGCACACACCCAACCGCGCCCAACCAUCUACUCACGUGAACAGCUUCAGUGAACACGGGAUGAUUCAGAGCUUUGUGUUGGAGCAGGACCUACAAGGAAAGAUGACAGUGGCAUUUGUGAAAAAAAGAGAAAAAAAAGGAAAACCUGAAACAAAAAUAUAAAGUAAGAUCAUUUUGUUACUUCUAAUACAGAAAUCAGAUGACAUUGUGCUGCUAAAAUGACUGCUUUUGUAUUAUGUUUGUAGGAUGUGAAAUGUCCUCAGACUGGUGUGAGCACUGAGGAUGGAGAGACACAGCAGAUCCUAGGAAUGGUUCAGUGUCAUGGAUGAGACCCUCCAUCACUCCUCCUGCCCUUACUGCCUCAUCUGACCUGAUGUUGAUGUGAUUUCUUCAUCCUCAGUGAGUCCAGAGCCAGCGAGAGCAUCUAGACAAAGACCAAACAGUGAGGAUGUGAUUUUGGUCAAGUUUGUUCUGCUGGUUUCAGUUCAUACACUGAAGCUUCAAAAGCAUCAUCAAAUAAUGUCAUGAAGCUUCUGGAAGUCAGGCUCCAUUGACUGAUAUUGUAGAAACUAGCUGGACAAACUUGAUCAAAAUCAACUUUUGUGUUCAGAAAAAAAAAGAAAACAAAACAAAAAAAUGAACACAGGGAUUGAACAGCGUGAAGGCAAGUGAAUAAUGACUGAAUUUAUUUGUUUGGGUGAACUAACCCUUUAUGCCCCCAAAUAGAAAUAUGUAUGAAAUGUAUGUAUGAAUUUAUAUUAUAGUAGUACCUUGAAAAAGUAAACUUUAAGAAAUAAACAGCUUGAAUUAACAUUUGUGCUCGAAACACUAACAAAAAAGGAUUUUAAAAAUAUCUAAUUUACAUUUGGCAGAUGCUGUUAUCCAAAGUGACUAACAGUGCUCUUAUUACAGGGAUGAUCCCGUUGGAGCAACCUGGAGUAAAGUGUCUGGAUCAAGCACACACUGGUGGAGAUGCUGCACAGAUCAAACCAGCAACCUUCUGCUGACCAGCUCAGUGGUUUAGGCCACCACACCACAAAAUCAUGCUGAUGGAGAGCAGAUGAAUGUUUGCAGCAGACACAGCAGAGCCAGAUUGUCCCGCACAUCUUCUCCCACUCUUGCUUCAAGCUUGUGGGGUUCAGGGGUCCAUCAUCAUUAUGGUCUUCCUCAUCCACAGGAUCAACGAUGUCCCCAUUGAGAAGAGCAGUGGUGAGGGACAUGAUGGAUCAUGUGUUCAUCAGCUGCUUCAUCAGAAUAAAGCUGCAGAAUUGGCACAGCUGUGUUGAGAUGGAAGCAGGACUGUAAAUAUGUGAUUGUUAGAUCAAUAAAUUUGAAUAAAGCUUUGUUUCGUGUGUUGUUGACUUGUACAUGCAUUUAUUUAAUUAUUGUCAUUAUUACUUUUAUUAAUUCUUUACUUAUUAAUUAUGCUAUUAUCAGUAAAUGUAUAUAUUGUAUUACUUCAUGCUUUCAUUGACUGUAAAUGGAGAUGUAUUCACAUCAGCUGUAUUUGUCUAGUGUGUGUUCAUGCACAGCUGUCAUAUAACAAAACAUUACAUUUUGCUUGUUUUACUAAAGAAGUAAUAUGAAAAGUAAUAUAAUUAAGUUUUGGUUUAUGGUUAAUGUUGGGGUGUGCUAGCAAAGCAAUUCAUUCUGAGGUAAUCUUAAUUUCAAGUAGAUUUUACUUACAUUUUUUUGAGUAUAAAAUCAACAGUCUUCUUCAAAGGUGAGAUCUUCGAGCAGCUGCUGAUGUCUUCUUUGUGCAGACAUUGCUAACACUGAGGGAAACCGCACUAGGUAGGGUUGUGGAGUUACUGGUACUGUGAGGUGUUAGUGUACUUGUCACUCAUCUUUAUUUUAUUGCAGGACCUAUAAUAACAUACAAGAUCAGGGAAAAUACCAGUUGUAUCUUUAACAAUGAACAAUAAUAAUGAAAAAAAAAACAUAAAAAUGUGUUUGUAUACAUCAUCGUUUGAAAUUAUACACAUAAAGCAUGAUGACAAGGUUAAAUAUUUUGAAUACAUCAUAAUGCAUAAAAGUAUUUAUUUUAUUUAUUAUUUGUAAGCCCGAGGGAUGAAACUAGAGCUAAUUCAACAAGAAAAAGGGGAAAAAUUUAGAUUUAUGCUUGUGGAUGGACAUUUUUGCAUAUUAAAUGAAGAAAUUAAUAACAUAUUCACACGAAUUUGGGUUUUUGUAACAAAAAAUAAACUCACAUUAUAAAAAUAUAAGAACUUUAAAUUAACUCAAACUAUAUUAGUUGUAUUACAAUUACAAAAUUACUG